rnacentral:tRNA from 1 species
GCUUCCGUAGCUCAGUUGGUUAGAGCUUCGUACUAAUACUCGCCUUACAGCGCUGCAUUAGUGAUGCGAAGGUCGCAGGUUCAAGCCCUGCCGGGAGCA